AUGCCGUCAAUCGCCGGCGGAGGAGGCUGGCGCCUCUUCUCCGCGGGCAGGGGCAUCUCCUGGCUGCGCCUCCGCCGCCUCCAGCGCCCGCUCCUCUCGUCCCUCGCCAGCGGCAGCGGCGGCGACGCGCCGCAUCUGCCCGUGGUCAUCGUCGGGGCCGGACCCGUCGGGCUCGCCCUCUCCUUCCUCCUCGCCAAAUUCGGCAUCAAAUGCACGGUCCUCGAGAGAAGCAUGGAGUUCACUCGGCAUCCCCGAGCGCAUUUCAUCAACAACCGCACCAUGGAGAUCUUCCGCAAGUUUGACGGCUUGGCCUGGGACAUCGAGAGGGCUCAGCCGCCGGUGGAUCUGUGGAGGAAGUUCGUGUACUGUACCUCGCUCUCCGGAUCCAUUCUUGGUUCGGUUGAUCACAUGAAGCAGGAAGAUUUCAACAAGGUCAUUAGUCCUAUAUCGGUCGCACACUUCUCGCAGUACAAGCUAGUGGAUUUGCUACUCAAGAAACUGGAUGGCGUUGGCUUUCAGACGUGCUUUCCUGAUGAGCUUGGCGGUAGCUCCACUCAAGAUUUGCUGCUGGAAAACAAGAUACUGAUGGGGCACGAGUGUAGUUCCAUUCAGCUGACCGAUGAUGGUAUUUUGGUUGGAGCAUCGUUUAACAAUGGGGGGAGGGUGCAGGAGAGGAAGCUUCACUGUGGCCUUCUUCUAGGGGCAGAUGGCGCUAGGAGCAAAGUGCGUGAGUUGGCUGGUAUAUCUAUGAAAGGUGAAAGGGACUUGCAGAAAUUGGUCAGUGUUCAUUUUGUGAGCAGGGAUCUUGGAAAGUAUUUAUCUAGUGAGAGGCCUGGCAUGCUGUUCUUUAUUUUCAACCCUGAUGCAAUUGGUGUGCUUGUGGCACAUGACCUGGAGCAUGGGGAAUUUGUGUUGCAGGUUCCAUUUUAUCCACCUCAGCAGAUGUUUGAGGAUUUUAAUGCAAAGGUGUGCGAGCAAAUUAUUGUCAAAUUGGUUGGAUGGGAGCCAGCAGAUAUUCAGGUUUUAGACAUAAAACCAUGGGCAAUGCAUGCUGAAGUUGCAGAGAAAUAUGUUGGCUGCGACAAUCGUGUAAUCCUAGUUGGUGAUGCUGCUCACCGCUUUCCUCCUGCUGGUGGUUUUGGAAUGAACACUGGUGUUCAGGAUGCACAUAAUUUGGCUUGGAAAUUGUGUUUACUUCUAAAUGGCAUCGCUGACCCAUCAAUUAUACAAACUUAUGAGUCAGAGCGCAAACCUGUUGCCAUUUUUAACACAGAACUUAGUUUGGAAAACUUCAAGGCAGCAAUGUCUAUUCCUGCUACCCUUGGUCUUGAUCCAACCAUUGCAAACUCAGUGCACAGAGUAAUCAACAGCAGCCUAGGAUCAAUCAUUCCAAGAAAUGUACAGAAGGUGGUUCUGGAAGGAUUAUUUUCCAUUGGUCGGACACAAGUCUCGGACUACAUUUUGAGUGAGAACAAUCCCCUUGGAUCCUUGAGACUAGCAAGAUUGAGAAGUAUUCUUGAUGAAGGAAAAAGUCUACAGCUGCAGUUCCCUGCAGAGGAUCUUGGCUUCCGCUAUGGAAAAGGAGCCCUAGUUGCUGAAGAUUGUGCUGAGAGCACUUAUCAAGCAGAAGAACUGAAGCAUUCUAAGAGGUCAUCAGGAGAGUACAUUCCUUCUGCUAAGGUUGGUUCACGGCUACCACACAUGCUGGUGAGACCACUGUCCGCUUCGAGUGAGGGUGUGUUCUCAACACUGGACCUAGUAAGUGGGGAUAAAAUUGAGUUUGUUAUCAUCAUUGCACCACUGAAAGAGUCAUAUAAGCUUGCCCAGGCUAUGCUGAUGAUAGCAGAUGAAUUCGAGCUAUCAGCCAAAGUUUGUGUCAUGUGGCCACAAGGUUCAAGGGACGUGGAAGCGAAAGGGAGCAUAUCUGAGUUGGCACCCUGGACAAACUAUGUCGAUGUCGAGGAAAUACCAAGGGCAACUGUGAACUCAUCAUGGUGGGAGAUGUGUCAGGUAAAUAACAAAAGUGUUAUUUUGGUUAGGCCUGAUGAGCACAUAGCAUGGAGAGCAGAACCUGACAUGGUGAGAGAUGCUUAUUCAGACGUUAGGAGAGUCUUUUCUCAAAUUUUGAGUUUAAAUAGGCCCCAGGUGUAA
rnacentral:rRNA from 1 species